rnacentral:rRNA from 1 species
UACGUAGGUGGCGAGCGUUGUCCGGAAUUACUGGGUGUAAAGCGCGUGUAGGCGGGAGGCCAAGUCUGUGGUGAAAUCGCUCGGCUUAACUGGGCGGGGUCCAUGGAAACUGGUCACCUGGAGGUCGGUAGAGGCAAGUGGAAUUCCCGGUGUAGUGGUGAAAUGCGUAGAGAUCCGGAGGAACCCCAGAGGCGAAGGCGGCAGCCUGGUUGGCUCCUGACGCUCGGACACGACAGCAUGGGGAGCGAACGGG